CCUACGGGAGGCAGCAGUAAGGAAUAUUGGUCAAUGGACGAAAGUCUGAACCAGCCAUGCCGCGUGAAGGAUGAAGGCCCUCUGGGUUGUAAACUUCUUUUAUCUGGGACGAAAAAAGCUCAUUCUUGAGCACUUGACGGUACCAGAGGAAUAAGCACCGGCUAACUCCGUGCCAGCAGCCGCGGUAAUACGGAGGGUGCAAGCGUUAUCCGGAUUCUACUGGGUUUAAAGGGUGCGUAGGUGGGUUUGUAAGUCAGUGGUGAAAUCUCCGAGCUUAACUCGGAAACUGCCAUUGAUACUAUAGAUCUUGAAUCAUCUGGAGGUAAGCGGAAUAUGUCAUGUAGCGGUGAAAUGCUUAGAUAUGACAUAGAACACCAAUUGCGAAGGCAGCUUACUACGGGUGCAUUGACACUGAGGCACGAAAGCGUGGGGAUCAAACAGGAUUAGAUACCCUGGUAGUCCACGCCCUAAACGAUGGAUACUCGACAUCAGCCGNACACUGUGUGUNUGNGAGAAGANAUAGUAUCCACCACGAGACGACGACGAGUAGUAAGACGAANAGAGUAGAGACGNGAGAGNGCGACGGACGACACGAGGGAGGAGG
rnacentral:rRNA from 1 species